ensembl:snRNA U6 U6 spliceosomal RNA
GUACUUGCUUCAGCGGCACCUAUAAUAAAACUGGAAUGCCACGGAGAAGACCAGCACCGCCCCUGUGCAAGAAUGACUUGGAAAUUCAUGAAAAAAAUUAUAUAUUU